rnacentral:pre_miRNA from 1 species
AUUGGAAUUAUUGGAUCAUAUUGUAAAUGCAUGGCAAACAUUCUAAGAAAUUCCAAAACUGAUUUCCAAAGUGGUUGUACCAUUUUCUAUUUCUACCAGCAAU